ensembl:snRNA U6 U6 spliceosomal RNA
GUGCUCGCUUUGGCAGCACGUAUUCUAAAAUUGGAACGAUAUAGAGAAGAUCAGCAUGGUCCCUGCGCAAGGAUGACAUGCAAAUUCGUGAAGCAUUCCAUAUUUAA